rnacentral:rRNA from 1 species
UUGAAGAGUUUGAUCAUGGCUCAGAUUGAACGCUGGCGGCAGGCCUAACACAUGCAAGUCGAGCGGUAGCACAGAGAGCUUGCUCUCGGGUGACGAGCGGCGGACGGGUGAGUAAUGUCUGGGAAACUGCCUGAUGGAGGGGGAUAACUACUGGAAACGGUAGCUAAUACCGCAUAACGUCGCAAGACCAAAGUGGGGGACCUUCGGGCCUCAUGCCAUCAGAUGUGCCCAGAUGGGAUUAGCUAGUAGGUGGGGUAACGGCUCACCUAGGCGACGAUCCCUAGCUGGUCUGAGAGGAUGACCAGCCACACUGGAACUGAGACACGGUCCAGACUCCUACGGGAGGCAGCAGUGGGGAAUAUUGCACAAUGGGCGCAAGCCUGAUGCAGCCAUGCCGCGUGUGAAGAAGGCCUUCGGGUUGUAAAGCACUUUCAGCGGGGAGGAAGGCGUUAAGGUUAAUAACCUUGGCGAUUGACGUUACCCGCAGAAGAAGCACCGGCUAACUCCGUGCCAGCAGCCGCGGUAAUACGGAGGGUGCAAGCGUUAAUCGGAAUUACUGGGCGUAAAGCGCACGCAGGCGGUCUGUCAAGUCGGAUGUGAAAUCCCCGGGCUCAACCGGGAACUGCAUUCGAAACUGGCAGGCUAGAGUCUUGUAGAGGGGUAGAAUUCCGUGUAGCGGUGAAAUGCGUAGAGAUCUGGAGGAAUACCGGUGGCGAAGGCGGCCCCCUGGACAAAGACUGACGCUCAGGUGCGAAAGCGUGGGGAGCAAACAGGAUUAGAUACCCUGGUAGUCCACGCCGUAAACGAUGUCGAUUUGGAGGUUGUGCCCUUGAGGCGUGGCUUCCGGAGCUAACGCGUUAAAUCGACCGCCGGGGAGUACGGCCGCAAGGUUAAAACUCAAAUGAAUUGACGGGGCCCGCACAAGCGGUGGAGCAUGUGGUUUAAUUCGAUGCAACGCGAAGAACCUUACCUGGUCUUGACAUCCACAGAACUUUCCAGAGAUGGAUUGGUGCCUUCGGGAACUGUGAGACAGGUGCUGCAUGGCUGUCGUCAGCUCGUGUUGUGAAAUGUUGGGUUAAGUCCCGCAACGAGCGCAACCCUUAUCCUUUGUUGCCAGCGGUUCGGCCGGGAACUCAAAGGAGACUGCCAGUGAUAAACUGGAGGAAGGUGGGGAUGACGUCAAGUCAUCAUGGCCCUUACGACCAGGGCUACACACGUGCUACAAUGGCAUAUACAAAGAGAAGCGACCUCGCGAGAGCAAGCGGACCUCAUAAAGUAUGUCGUAGUCCGGAUUGGAGUCUGCAACUCGACUCCAUGAAGUCGGAAUCGCUAGUAAUCGUAGAUCAGAAUGCUACGGUGAAUACGUUCCCGGGCCUUGUACACACCGCCCGUCACACCAUGGGAGUGGGUUGCAAAAGAAGUAGGUAGCUUAACCUUCGGGAGGGCGCUUACCACUUUGUGAUUCAUGACUGGGGUGAAGUCGUAACAAGGUAACCGUAGGGGAACCUGCGGUUGGAUCACCUCCUU